AGUUAUCUUUUUAUUAUUUAUUAUUUGCUUAGUAAACAGCAGUAUCUUGUUGAUUGCGCAAUCUGUCAUUCAUAGGCACAGACGGAGAUACAGAGUGCAUCUCAUUCGUCACUCAAUUCAUCCUCUAUUGGCUUAUUUUCUUAAAACGUCACCUAGUCUUUCCCAAAGCUUCAACAAAAAGGAAAAUAAAGAAUUUCUAAAGGAAAUAAACUUUUCUUCUCUUCUUCUGGUUUAAAAUCCAUGGCCAAGUCCGCUUGAACAAGUACCUUUGUAUAAAGCCAACUAAUCCCGCAUUCACCAUGUGGAACUUUGCAUCAAAGGCCUUUAUUGGAGCCAGCAGGUUGAAGAUUGAUUCAUUGAAACCAAGUCAGGUUUCUUCAGAAUGCUCAGAUGAGGAUACUUCUUUGAACAAAUGUGGAGAGGAAAUAUUGGAGUGCCCAAUAUGCUGGGAAUCCUUCAACAUUGUAGAGAAUACACCAUAUGUUUUAUGGUGUGGCCAUACUUUAUGUAAAAAUUGUGUCUUAGGGCUGCAACGAGCUGUUCUGAAAUUCCCUACAUUACCAAUCCAUAUUCCAUUCUUCAUCUCGUGCCCAUGGUGUAAUCUAUUCUCUUUGAGGUUGGUCUACAAGGGGAAUGUCAAGUUUCCCAGCAAAAACUACUUUCUCCUCUGGAUGAUUGAGAGCAUGAAUGGUAAUAGGUCGAAGUCUAAUUCUUCCUUUCAUGGUGGUCAUCCACCUGACUAUUCUACAAAUAAAAAAAUAGAUGGGGGAAAUCAACUUAGACGUAUAAACAACAGGAGAGCUUCAUGUGCUACUCACCAUUCAGAACAUUUAGAGUCCAGCCAAAAUCAAGGCCCCCUGAUUACUAGCUAUUUCAGUGCUGAAAAACUCAAAUCACCACUGCGUAAGUCGUUGGUUUUCCUUUUGCACGUAACAGCUAAGUUCCCUUUGAUUGUCAUAUUUCUUUUGAUGGUCUUAUAUGCCAUGCCAGCUAGUGCAGCCAUUUUCGUCCAAUACAUUCUUAUCACUGUCGUGUUUGGCGUCCCUUCUUUUCUUGUUUUGUACUUUGCCUUCCCCUGUGUGGAUUGGCUGUUUAGGGAAAUCAUCAGUUAAACUUCCCUUAAUACUCCCAUCUUAUGCCAAUACAAUCUUGUAGCAUGGAAUUGCUCCAUGCAAUUCGACGACUUCUCCAUAUUUGAUGCCAUGAAACCAUGUGGUUCAAGCUCUGUUAUGAAAAGUUUUCUCUCUUUUGAAUCAGUUAAAUUCAGAGUUUGUAGUUUCAGUGUAUAAGCAAAGCAACAUAUUGUCUUGGAGUUUGGAAAGUUGAUUUCCCUUUAAAUGCUGCUGUGGUAAACCUCCUGCAAAAAUGUUUCGGAAUGCUGAUCCCAUGUUGCGGGGAUGUUCUUUAUCAGCUUUUCAUGGCACUUUGUUCUAGGAAGACAUGGAAAGGAAAUAGACUUAUUUGGAAUCUGAGUUUAAGGGGAAUGAACUAUUGAUCUACAUGAUAGUUUCUUUAAACUGCUUUCCUUUACCCAUCAAUGCUUUCAGGGCCUAAUAUCAGUUGCUGCUGUUGACGGGAGUCGACGAGUUUAAGUCUCUAUUUGCUGCUACUGCAUUGUUAGUCCAUGAUAUGAAAUCAAAGGUGUGGGGUUUGCUUUUGGCUUUGUCCAAUUUUACUGUUUGAUGCAAGCGAAUGCAAAUUGCAAAAGAGUUGUAUUAUGAUACUUGUUCUUUUUUCUUUUUUUAUGAAAUAAUUAUGAUACUUGGUUCUUAUAUACUACAA